ACAGCAGUCGCCACGGUAAUACGAAGGGUGCAAGCGUUAAUCGGAAUUACUGGGCGUAAAGCGUGCGUAGGCGGUUUGUUAAGUCUGUUGUGAAAUCCCCGGGCUCAACCUGGGAAUGGCAAUGGAUACUGGCAAGCUAGAGUGUGUCAGAGGAUGGUGGAAUUCCCGGUGUAGCGGUGAAAUGCGUAGAGAUCGGGAGGAACAUCAGUGGCGAAGGCGGCCAUCUGGGACAACACUGACGCUGAGGCACGAAAGCGUGGGGAGCAAACAGGAUUAGAUACCCGCGUAGUCCCUGUCUCUUAUAC
rnacentral:rRNA from 1 species